UACGUAGGUCCCGAGCGUUGUCCGGAUUUAUUGGGCGUAAAGCGAGCGCAGGCGGUUUAAUAAGUCUGAAGUUAAAGGCAGUGGCUUAACCAUUGUUCGCUUUGGAAACUGUUAGACUUGAGUGCAGAAGGGGAGAGUGGAAUUCCAUGUGUAGCGGUGAAAUGCAUAGAUAUAUGGAGGAACACCGGUGGCGAAAGCGGCUCUCUGGUCUGUAACUGACGCUGAGGCUCGAAAGCGUGGGGAGCAAACA
rnacentral:rRNA from 1 species